GCCACGAAGCACAGAGGUUGACACACAAGGACUUUCCAAUUAUCCAGCAAUGGUACUGUUCCUUUACCCUCUCUUCGAUUUUUAAGAAAGUAGUCAUGUUGGGAGUCUUGUGCACUGGGUACGACCUUUUAGUCAUGUUGGGAGUCUGGCUCUUGGGAGCAGCCUCUCCAUAAAAUGGGGGUAAGGCUAGCCGACAUUCACCUCUCCCAGACCCUGCGUAAAGCGGGAGCCUUGUGCACUGGGUACGACCUUUUAGUCAUGUUGGGAGUCUGGCUCUCGAGAUUCGGAGGACGGUGCCUCUUCGAUUUUGGAGCAAGCAAUCUUAUUGGGAGUGUUUUCUCGAAUGUGAGUAAAGGUUGGGCAUGUUUGCUAGUCUACCUUGCCACGAAGCACAGAGGUUGACACACAGGGACUGUCCAAUUAUCCAGCAGUGGUACUGUUCCUUUACCCUUGUGGGUAAUAAUAUGGUAGCUAGACCUUCAAAAUUUAUGGGUCUAAACUUUGUUAGUGCUGUUUCUUUGCUAUUCUUUUACUCUUCUUGGUCAGAGCGAUGUAGU
rnacentral:lncRNA from 1 species